UUGUUAACCCCCGCGGAUGGAGGCGUUGUAGCGGCCUCUCCCAGCGAUAUACCGCCUCUUGGGAAGGAAUGUUUUCUGGAUAUCCAACGUAACUGUUCCAAGCUGCAGGAUAGGGCCUUUGUCUCUAGUUAUAUGCCCCAUUCAGGGAGGAGAGUUUCUUUGUUGUCUUUGUGUGUGGCCUCCGAGUGGUUUUAGACCACCAUUAAUUCAGCCCUCAGCCUCCCCUUUGCCAGACUAGAUGAAAUAACAUUCCUUCAAACAUCCUGCUAGCCCCUGUGCCCCUGAGCCAGCCCACUUGAAUGUGUGAUGCCUUAUGUGUGAUGCCGUUUCAUUAUGGGACAGAGCGAGCACUGACAGCAGCCAGUGGCUCAGGUAAGCUGGGGUGAGGUCUGUACCCCACCACUUCUAUAAAGAGCAGAGAUUCCUACUGAAGCCUUUAUUUGGCAGAAUUGGCCCGGCAGCCUUUCCAGGUGAUGAAUUUAGGAUGAGGAAACAGAAAUUGUUGUCCUUGGCUUUGCAGGGUUAAUCUCAGCGCAGACACGUGUGCUGCUGUCUGUGUCCUCAGCGUCAGCCGGGAGGUGCACAGCAAAGAGCUGACGAGGGAGCUGCAGACCGGGAAAGACCUGUGACGAUCACUCCAUGGAUACGCUGCAGAGAGUUGUGGAGUGCCUGUGGAGGGAGGGUCCUGUGUGCGCAUGCUGACCUGCCCAGAAGAUGCAUGUAGGAACACAUAACUGGUGUGAAGGGAACCUCAGGCACAGAUCCCCCACCUUCAAAAGCAUCAGGCACGGAGGGCUCUGCGCAUCAGGGAAGCCCAUG
rnacentral:lncRNA from 1 species